rnacentral:rRNA from 1 species
GACGAACGCUGGCGGCGUGCCUAAUACAUGCAAGUAGGACGCAGUUGCGAACGGGUGAGUAACGCGUAGGUAACGGGCUAUUAGAGGGGGAUAAAUAUUGGAAACGAUAGCUAAUACCGCAUACAAGUGGGUGGACCUGCGUUGUAUUAGCUAGUCGGUAGGGUAAUGGCCUACCUAGGCGACGAUACAUAGCCGACCUGAGAGGGGGAUCUGCCACACGGGGACUUAGACACGGCCCAGACUCCUACGGGAGGCAGCAGGAGUGAAGCUUCGGCAAUGGGGGGAACCCUGACCGAGCAACGCCGCUUGAGGGAAGAAGGUUUUCGGAUCGUAAAGCUCUGUUGUUAAGGAAGCGGUACUUAACCAGAAAGGGACGGCUAACUACGUGCCAGCAGCCGCGUAAUAC